rnacentral:misc_RNA from 1 species
CAUAUUCUGGUUGAGAAAUCAUAACUAAACACAAUAUCUACUUACACGCAACAUAUCAUAUGCACAAUACUUAUUAAAACAUUUUAAAAUCAUUUUCUAUGGAGGAUUGUAUAACCAAUGUGAUGAUUCCUUUAUGGAGAAAUGUGCAGACGUAUGCGUUCCAACGCGUACACAAAGAAGUAUUAGCAGACUAACCAUCUGGCACAAUACAAGUACAUCUGUAUUCUACAUUUAGCACCUCGAGAAUGUUAUGCUAUAUUGACUAUUUCGAGGUACUUGACUGAUUGUCAGUGUCAAGUGUUGUAGUUGUGCUGUUAGUUUGAUUAGGCUAUCUAGGUGACUUCAGGAACGUUCUUUUAUUGACACAUCAGGAAAUCGCAACAAUUGCAGGAGCUAAAGAGAGAUAGGAAUAUGCCUGUGAUAAAAAUUUGCAGUUGCAAUUGAUUGAAACAUAAAGUUAUCUGAUCUAAAAUACCACCUUAAAUUUUAAAAGCUUGCUUUGAUGUGAACUUAGUGCAAUAAAAAUACUCAUAAAAUGCUACAAUGCAUCCCUUGGGAGCAUCUGGCAGUGUGCUUAUUUGGCUAUAUGAUUUUCUUUUAGAAAGUAUUGAAUGAAGACUAAAGUCUGAUAUUCUUUUCACAGAAACUAGAGAUUCAUAUCUUCUCCACAAAUAAUUAACCAGAGUUCACUACUUCCAAUUAAAAGCAAGAAUAAUGAAGCUGAACCCUUAUUAGUUGUAGACUUGGAAACCAAACUAAAUCAUUUAAUUGCAGGCUACUUUGCACAACUAAAUCAAAAGCAAUUUUUUGGAUGAUAAAUUAAAAUAUCCCUUGGGAUAAAUACCGCUAUGUCUAUGUCCAAGUUGCGCAAAGUCCUUCACCUUCGAUACUGCACUUUACUUCAACAACAUACAUAAUCACAUAUACACAUAACCCUGUAUACGGUACAUGAGUUCAGUAUUUGUGUAUCCAAUACAUAUAAUGUCUACCACCAAAAUUAUGUGACAGGUUGAUAAAAGACAUGGAAUUUUGGCCCUCCUAACUACACACGUCAAUAGUGCAGCGUCAUUCUAUGGUACGAGGAGCGGACAAAAAAAAGUAAAAAAAUCCUAACAGUAGUGCGUUCAUUUACGAAAUACGUAAAGGUAUGUUCGGAAGUUCUCUUCAAUUUUUUCAAGGUUUACCCAUGUUUACAAUAGUGUCUUCAUUUACUUGUAUCUCUAAAGAAGAAAAAUCUUGUCUGCUCAAUAUACUAAGGCUAGCUUUGACAUUUAGAUUUUUUUCAAUUUCUUCAAAUACUUUGGAAUUUUAGCUAUAACAGCCCCAAACUAAUCAAUUACUUCUAAACACAAAAUAAAAAUUCAAUCAAUUGAUUGCUUUUAGUACUAGAUGAUUAGUAGAGAGUAACAAGGAAUUUCAGCUGUACGAUAUUGGUACUUACGCUUGACAAAAUUGGUUCUUCAGCUUACGUUCUUCAGCUCAGCAACAGUUCGUCCGCAAGAGCUAAGCUCAGCUCAGCUCCUCCGAUUUUCAGCUCAGCUCUUCAGUCUUCUGCUUCCUCUCUUCGAUCUUCAGUAUCUACUCGUCUAUUUGAAGUUGUAGAGAAGAGAAAUUGUGUGGAUUUUUCAUAUAAGAAGGACCUGAAGCUACCGUUCUGGAGAAGAUAAAUAGCCCCAAUUUGCUCUCUGAUUCUUAGAUAGGAAAGUUUUUAAUAAUGUUUUAUCAAUUAUUUUAUUGGCCAAUAAAAAUAUGGGAGAGCGAUUAGAAAAUGUUGGAGAGAAUCUAAUAUUUUACUGAAAUUUUUUAGUCCACACUUCUAAACUGUUGUUUUUACAAUUAUAAAAAUAGGACCCUUUAAAAGUGUGGUCAUAUAUAUAAAUAAUUAUUGCCAUUAAUUUCAUACUAUGACAGCGCUUAUAAAAGUGUAGCCUAUACCAUUAAAGGGUACACUUUACAAGUAUUGCCAAUAUUAUUGUUGACAAAAGUUAAAUUUUAGACUACAUUUUAAAAGUGUUUCCAAAAAUAUUUUAGGCAACAUUUUUCAAGCGUUGCUCAGAUUUAGUGUGCCCAUAGGCCUAAAAAGGUGUAGUGUUCUAGUAACUUGUUUCAAUACUUGAGCAAUUGAGUGUAUGAGAACGAAGAGAAUGUAUUCAUAAGUCUACCUUGUCAUCUUGAGAUCCUCCAUGUCAUUACACAAAACUCUUGAAUUCAUAAUUCACAUUCAAAAGAGAGAGUUAAGAGUAGAGUUCGAGAAAGAUUUUGAGUUCAAUAGUAAAUUCUUUGAGGUAAACCAUUUAUUUGAACUAAGUUUUGAGGAAGUAAGUAUGAGAAUGAUAAGCGUCGUAUACAUGAGUUUCUUAAUGAUAUUUUGACCCUUAAGUCUAGUCGUUCAUGCCCAUAACAUCCUCAUGAACUCCAAUUAGUUGAGUACCUUUGAGAUAAAUAGCAUAUUCAAGUCCUAAGUUUUGAGUAAUAAGUUCUAAGCCAUUUGAUUUUAUAUUUAUAAUCAUUGGACUAUUACAUGUUAUCCAUGAAGUCUUUGAGUUGAAUUGUUCAUGCCAUAAUUAUGCAUAAACCAUAGAAGUCGAAAAGUCUUGAGAUAAGUAGUGUCUUUCAGUCCUUGAGUUGAGUAGUUCAUGCUCAUAAUUUCGUAUGAACCUCCAAGUUGAAUAUCAUGAAAUCAUCCAUAAACAUGAGAUCAUGAAACUUGAAUCCAUAAUCCAAGUCAAGGAAAGUUAAGAUCAAAGUUAAAGAAAUUAGGAGUUAAGUCUAGAAGUUACGAAGUAAGUCAAAGCAAAGUUCUUAAGUUUCAAAAGUCGUAUUAAGCAUUUUAACUUCGUUUUAAGGAUCAAGUUUCGAGUUAAAGUGAAGAGUAAAAGUUGAAGUCAUUCAUUCAAGAAAUAUACGGGAACUAAGUAUUCUCUAAGAGUUGAUUUAAGAUCAAAAGUUUCAAGUUAAGUACAGAGUAAAGAACUGAGUUCAUUUCUCAAAAGUCAUAAGGGAACUAAGUAUUCCCUAAGAGUUACAAAUGUUUUCACAUUUUGAGCAAGAAAGGAAGAUAGACUUCCAACAGAGCCUUUGGCUAGUUUUUAGUAAAGAGGAAUCUAUGAUUUCCAAGAGAGCUUUUAAAGCUAAGUUUGAGAAAUUACCUCAAACUAGAGAACAAGUUUUUAAAACAUAUGAGCUAAGUAUUUUGGGGUAGUAUUAAGCACUAAUAUGGGGACGCGAGUUCAUAUUAACUCAAUCCCCCAUAAACCAUGAGGCCAACAUAGACGGAAGAAGGGUCAUACUUUUUAGAUGAUUCCUUAGUGCUUUUUUAGCAUAGACUAGUAGAUCCACUUAGUAGUUCAAGUUCUAUGCUGACGGCAAGGUAUAAGAUGGUCCUCUUGCAACGUGAGGUAUGACCUUGUACCAUCACGUAGGCUCAUCGUAAUUGUUGUCGGUUAGAGAAUCUCCUUUAGAAACUAUAUUACUUUAUUAUAUAAGUAAAGUUGAGUUUGUUAUUGCAUUUUCUUUAACGAACUAAGUUGUUUUUACUAUUUUAUAAAGCUUUUUAUACAUAGCAUGUGUACCGUUGCUUUAUAUUGAGUUGAAUAUCCAUAGUCG